AAAAAAAUUGUAAUCUCAUUGAUUCAGUAUGAAGAGCAAUAUGAAGAGCAUGAAAAUAGGAAGAGGAUAAUGAUGGAGCCCAUAUGAGUACCUACCGGGAUUAGCAGCGAGACCAAAGGAGCGGGAGAUGUCGCCCCUUUUUUUACAGACGUUAGAGAACAUGACUUCCAGCAACACACGAGCUGAUCACAGAUAUGGGCCGGUGUGCCUUAUCAAAUUGCAUUUCUCCCUAGCCUCAUGAUGAGGCAUUUCACCUUAGCCCAUCCCUAGUUUACUGCUGUCUUGGUGAAGAUCAUAACGACUCGUUUAGACUUCUACUGUACUGUCUAGAACCAGGACUCUGCCUUGACAUCCUAUCGCUGACACCCCCUUGAAGUACCUGAGCGCUGCCCAACGUGGAAUCUAGAGCACUCUUCCAUUUUGUUCGUUGGUGAAGAACUCCAAGCGACACAGUCCUCCCUCUGAUGCCCAGCCUCAACAUUACAUUCGUGAUUUCCCUAUUGUGUGCUGUCAUCUGUAGUUUAACAGUGCCACUCAUCAUUUACUGGCAGUGCCAUUCUUCGAGACAAGGUUGCAGAGAUCUCAUUGGGAGCCAGCUUUGCUUAUAGUGCUCCACCUUGUGUUUAGUUUUAAGAAUUCUGUUGUUGAUUCUGCAACAAAUGUACCCACUCGAGUUAGUGUUUGCUUGCAAUUCAAUGGUACAUAUGACAAGACCAGGGUGGAUACAUUCAGACCCAGAAUGUUGUAUGAAAUUUCUAAUAAAUCAGAUCCUCCUCUGCAGUCAGCUCUUCCCAGACUAGAUUUGCAGUUAAAAUAAUUCGAAGUGUUGCCUUUUCUUGUGCGAGACUCGAUACAAAAAGUAUAGUGACCAUUCUACAUAUAUAAUUGCAUUGUAGAACCUUUUUAAGUUCAAACUUGCCACAGAAUUUGGAUUCUGUAGUCCAGAACAGAACAGUUGAUCUAUACUAUAUGUUAUAAUUGAUCUGCCAAGUUUUACUAGUUAGCUUUCAUUGACAGGUUUAGAGCUGGUGAGAUUUUAAUUUUGGUUUAUAUGUAAGGUAAUUAUUAAUUGUAACGAUAUCAGUGCUGCAUUUUUUCUCCAAGUCUGUAUUUUGAGCAAUUUUCACAUUGGAAGACAGUACAGGGUUACAGCUCUGUGUCAUUCAAAUGUCAUGGCAAUUUUUUCCCAUUCUUGUUUUAAACAUCUUCAAUGAAGUUUCCUUGCUUUCAGGGAAUCAAGUAGUGUAACUUUUAUUGGGAUGCCUCCCCUUUGUACCUUGGAUGCUGUUUUCAUGACGAUUCAUGAAAAUUCAGCUAUAAAGCCAGGCACUGGGGCACUUUCAGCCAUUUGGUACUUUAGAAUGGGAAGUUGGAAUGUUUGGGGAGAAGAUUGAUAAAGGAAGCAGAAUGGAGGUAAAGUAAAAGGCUAUAAAAGUUGGUUCAGCUAAUGACUAAAUGGACACCACAAACUAUGUAUAGUACAGUAAUGCCAACAGUUCAUGUGAAGUACAUUGGGGCACUCUCUACUGUGAGGUUGUGUCGUUUCAUAUUGUUGAGAUCAUCGAUUUUGUGACUUUCAAGUUAGGUUUCUAAAGCCCCUUCCACGAGGGGCAAAUGCACGGCGGGCAGACACUUAGCAAUUUUGAGAGUUGCUGGGAAUCUUAAGUGUGGUCAAGUCAUAGGUUCGCCUGCCUGUGACUACUGCCUCCCUUGGAUUGUUUGACCUACUAACACUGUUGAAAAGCCUAUUACAGGCAAAUCAGAGCCCAUCAUGUCUUCGCCCCUCGUGUGGAAAGGGCUUAACUAGUCACUCCCUUUAUCUGAAUAGCAUCUUGUGGUCCAUUUUUGUAUGUUACAAGCAUUAUACAUAUACAUUGACCUGGUUUUUCUUGUCAAAGAAGUCUGCAUUAGGUGUUAUAUAUAUUCUGCAAGUAUUUUUGACUAAUCUUAGAAUUGGUGUCUUGUUUAAUCCAUGGAUAUUUGAUUAACAGCCUACUUGUGAAAGUGUCCAAAAUGUAAAUGAAUAUAAAGUUGUGUUGACAAAUCAAAGAAUUUGUCAAAAUCAGUUUUCAUUUUGCUCAUAAAAUAUUAA